GUAGUUUAGUCCACAGGUUCUUUCUGAGGUGAACUUGUUUAAUAAUAAGCGGUUAUCAGCCAUGCAGGAGCCUACUUAUGCCUCUUUAUAAUAAUAUCGCUCCCUUAAAUACCAUUUGUGCCUUAUAGUGCAAUUUUUUCUUCUGUGUUUUAUUUUACAGAUCCAUUCAGGUUUGAGAAUGCUGGUAGAAUAAUUUCUAUGUGCUCAGUGUACACACGCCACAGAUUUGGAUGGAAAGUUGGACGGCAAAGCAGGAAGCAAAAUUCAUCCUCUGGCCUCUGGAGGAAAGAGUGCGGUCUUAUUGCUGCAGUUAAAGUGCUUGUGAGCUGUGACCGUGAAAUUAUUUUCAAAUACUUUUUUUAAUGAACAUUUUUUGCAAUUUUAAACAUAAACAUACAUUGUUUAACAAACAUAACGGGAUAACAGAAAAAAAGAAAAAAAAGUGGGGGUGGGGAGGAAAUCAAGUGAAUAACGGGAAAUAAUCAUAAGCUCAUGAAAUUUUAUGCAUCACAACUUACGUAAUAAAAAUAGGUAGCUGAGGUAAUUAGACUGGUAUGUUAACCCCUUAAGGACACAUGACAUGUGUAACAUGUCAUGAUUCCCUUUUAUUCCAGAACCCCUUAAGGGGUUAAAGGACCACUAUAGUGCCAGGAAAACAUACUCUUUUUCCUGGUACUAUAGUGCCCUGAGGGUGCCCCCACCCUCAGGGUUCCCCUCCCGCCGGGCUGGAUGGAGAGGAAGGGGUUAAACUUACCUCUUUCUCCAGUGCCGGGCGGGAAGCUCUCCUCCUCCUCUCCUCCUCUUCGGCUGAAUGCGCAUGCGGGCAGGAACCGCGCGCGCAUUCAGCCAGUCCAUAGCAAAGCAUUCACAAUGCUUUCCUAUGGACGCUGGCGUCUUCUCACUGAUUUUCACAGUGAGAAGCACGCAAACACCUCUAGCGGCUGUCAAUGAGACAAUAAAAAAAUGGGUUAACCCUAGAAGGACCUGGCACCCAGACCACUUCAUUAAUUCACAAUGCUUUCCUAUGGACGCUGGCGUCUUCUCACUGAUUUUCACAGUGAGAAGCACGCAAACGCCUCUAGCGGCUGUCAAUGAGACAGCCACUAGAGUCUGUAUUAACCCAUUUAUAAACAUAGCAAUUUCUCUGAAACUGCUAUGUUUAUAGAAAAAAGGGUUAACCCUAGCUGGACCAGGCACCCAGACCACUUCAUUAAAGGACCACUAUAGUGCCAGGAAAACAUACUCGUUUUCCUGGCACUAUAGUGCCCUGAGGGUGCCCCCACCCUCAGGGUCCCCCUCCCGCCCGGCUCUGGAAGGGGGAAAGGGGUUUAAACUUACCUUUUUCCAGCGCUGGGCGGAGAGCUCUCCUCCUUCUCUCCUCCUCCGUUCCGCCCCGUCGGCAGAAUGCGCACGCGGCAUUUCAGGAUAUAAAGUCAUGCUGAUUGCUGGAUUAUAAUUGCACUUUCCUUGUAAUAAGUGACAGACUAAGUGUUUGCUUGAAUCGUUAUUGACUUUCUCUGGUUAUUUACUGUUCUGCAUGUUGCAGCCGACUUCAGAUAAGCAAUAGCAAGGUGAAUUAGGCCAGCUUCCCCAAACCCCGGCCCUCCAGAUGUUGCUGAACUACAACUCCCAUGAUUCUAUGAAUGAAAUAGACUGAGAAUCAUGGGAGUUGUAGUUCAGCAACAUCUGGAGGGCCGGAGUUUGGGGAAGCCUGGUCUAAGGUAAAGGUAGAUCUGGCAAGUUUUUGAGCGCAAUGGUCUUUGUGAACACCGCAAACAGGUAUGUAUAAUGAACAUACUACAUGUGACAAGCUAUUAACUUUCAUAGUAACUGUGUAAUAAAAAUGUCACAAUAAAUUCACACUGGCGUUGUAGUUGUUUUGAUUUGUAAGCAGGAACUCCAUACACAGCAGUAAAAAUGUGCAGAGAGCCACUAUCCAAUUUAUUUGCACUGUUAUUGACCAGACUUGUGCACAAAUGCGUUUCAGCUGGUUCAAAAGGAUCAAAUUCCUUUUAAUCCACACACAAAUGAGUAAAUCGUCCGAGAUUUAAAUGUCAUUUGUUCAACCCAGCUGAAAUCCAUGUGUGAAUUUUUUAUGUAUAAACUAUAUGUAUAUCUUAAAGAUAGGACUAUAAGGACUCGAAGAUUAAUAGUUAACUUUUAUGAGCUUUACAUAAAACAGGUCAAUGUUUCAGUUUUGUCCCAAAAAAACUUUCUUCAUGUUGUCCUGAAAAGACAGGGAGAGAAGGCAGUCGGCUUCCCUCCCCAACAGCACAACAGAGUUAGAUUAUCGAGUUUUGUGCAGGAUGAUGUCAGGGUGGAUGGGCCUGGUUGGGGCUGGUUACCUAACUAACUCAGGUACUUGGUUAGCCUACCCUUCAGGGCCAGCCUCUUGCACACAGACUCUGAGCCUGGUCCCAAGAGCUCUUGAAAGGGACUUGUGAUGGUAGCAAUCGAUUUACUAACGAUGCACUUUUAGUUUGAUAAAGCUGCAGCACCGUCUCCUAAC